rnacentral:rRNA from 1 species
GACGAACGCUGGCGGCGCGCCUAAUACAUGCAAGUCGAGCGCAGGAAGUCAUCCGAACCCUUCGGGGGGACGUUGACGGAAUGAGCGGCGGACGGGUGAGUAACACGUAAAGAACCUGCCCUCAGGUCUGGGAUAACCACGAGAAAUCGGGGCUAAUACCGGAUGGGUCAUCGGACCGCAUGGUCCGAGGAUGAAAGGCGCUCCGGCGUCGCCUGGGGAUGGCUUUGCGGUGCAUUAGCUAGUUGGUGGGGUAAUGGCCCACCAAGGCGACGAUGCAUAGCCGACCUGAGAGGGUGAUCGGCCACACUGGGACUGAGACACGGCCCAGACUCCUACGGGAGGCAGCAGUAGGGAAUCUUCCACAAUGGACGAAAGUCUGAUGGAGCAACGCCGCGUGAACGAUGAAGGCCCUCGGGUCGUAAAGUUCUGUUGUAAGGGAAGAACAAGUGCCGCAGGCAAUGGCGGCACCUUGACGGUACCUUGCGAGAAAGCCACGGCUAACUACGUG